rnacentral:rRNA from 1 species
AAUUCCUUGUCGGGUAAGUUCCGACCUGCACGAAUGGCGUAACGAUCUCCACGCUGUCUCGGCCAGAGACUCGGUGAAAUUGAAGUCGCGGUGAAAAUGCCGUGUACCCGCAGAAAGACGGAAAGACCCUGUGCACCUUUACUAUAGCUUGACAUUGGGAUUUGAACCUGCAUGUGUAGGAUAGGUGGGAGGCUGUGAACUCUGUACGCUAGUAUGGAGGGAGCCAUUGUUGAAAUACCACCCUUGUUUUUUCAGGUCCCUAACCCUCAGCCGUAAGCCGGCGAGGGAACAGUGUCUGGUGGGUAGUUUGACUGGGGCGGUCGCCUCCUAAAAUGUAACGGAGGCAUGCAAAGGUUCCCUCAGGCUGAUUGGAAACCAGCCGUCGAGUGCAAACGCAUAAGGGAGCUUGACUGCGAGAGAGACAUCUCGAGCAGGUACGAAAGUAGGUGUUAGUGAUCCGGUGGUCCCGAAUGGAAGGGCCAUCGCUCAUUGGAUAAAAGGUACGCCGGGGAUAACAGGCUGAUCGCAUCCAAGAGUUCACAUCGACGAUGCGGUUUGGCACCUCGAUGUCGGCUCAUCACAUCCUGGGGCUGAAGCAGGUCCCAAGGGUACGGCUGUUCGCCGUUUAAAGUGGUACGCGAGCUGGGUUUAAAACGUCGUGAGACAGUUUGGUCCCUAUCUUCUGUGGGCGCUGGAGAAUUGAAAGGGCCUGUCCCUAGUACGAGAGGACCGGGAUGGACGCACCCCUGGUGGACCUGUUGUCGUGCCAACGGCAUAGCAGGGUAGCUAUGUGCGGAAGGGAUAACCGCUGAAAGCAUCUAAGCGGGAAGCCUGCCUUAAGAUAAGUUCUCCCUGACGCAAGUCCUGAAGGGCCGAGGUAGACUACCUCGUUGAUAGGCUGGGGGUGGAAGCGCCGCGAGGCGUGGAGCUGACCAGUACUAAUAGCCCGUGAGGCUUGUUCUC